rnacentral:rRNA from 1 species
CCUACGGGUGGCAGCAGUGAGGAAUAUUGGUCAAUGGGAGAGAUCCUGAACCAGCCAAGCCGCGUGAGGGAAGACGGCCCUAUGGGUUGUAAACCUCUUUUGUCGGAGAACAAAACACGGGACGUGUCCCGGACUGCGUGUAUCCGAAGAAACAGCAUCGGAUAACUCCGUGCCAGCAGCCGGGGUAAUACGGAGGAUGCGAGUGUUAUCCGGAUUUAUGGGGUUUAAAGGGUGCGGAGGCGGUGCGUUGAGUCAGCGGGAAAAUUGCGGUGCUCAACCCCGUCGAGCCGUUGAAACUGGCAGGCUUGAGUUGGCGAGAGGUACGCGGAAUGCGCGGUGUAGCGGUGAAAUGCAUAGAUAUCGCGCAGAACUCCGGUGGCGAAGGCAGCGUACCGGCGCCAGACUGACGCUGAGGCACGAAAGCGUGGGGAUCGAACAGGAUUAGAUACCCGAGUAGUC